rnacentral:rRNA from 1 species
ACGUAGGGCGCGAGCGUUGUCCGGAUUUAUUGGGCGUAAAGAGCUCGUAGGCGGCUUGUCGCGUCGACUGUGAAAACCCGCGGCUCAACCCGGGAACUGCGUCCGAUACUGGCAGGCUUGAAUUCGGGAGAGGGAUGCGGAAUUCCAGGUGUAGCGGUGAAAUGCGUAGAGAUCCGGAAGAACACCGGUGGCGAAGGCGGCCCGCUGGGCAGGAAGACACCGCAAGGUGUCGGCUGACGCUGAGGCGCGACAGCGUGGGGAGCAAACAGGA